rnacentral:sRNA from 1 species
CCAAUAUGUAUGGGGAUUAUAAUCCCAAUCCUAGACUGGAGAAAUGGGUGCGGGUGUUUACAGGUCCAAUAGCUUCCCUGUUAUGACAUUGUGCUAGGCCCGUCUAUUCGGUGUCCGCAUUAAGUUCGGCAUCAAUGCAGUGACCUCUCGGGAGCAGGGGACCACCAGGUUGCCUAAGGAGGGGUGACCAACACAGGACGGAAAUAACAGGUCAAAACUCUGGUGCUGAUCAGUGGUGGAAUGGCACCUGCACUCCAGCCUGGGCAACAUAGACAGACCCCAUGUCU